GAUGAACGCUGGCGGCGUGCCUAAUACAUGCAAGUCGAGCGAACGGACGAGAAGCUUGCUUCUCUGAUGUUAGCGGCGGACGGGUGAGUAACACGUGGAUAACCUACCUAUAAGACUGGGAUAACUUCGGGAAACCGGAGCUAAUACCGGAUAAUAUUUUGAACCGCAUGGUUCAAAAGUGAAAGACGGUCUUGCUGUCACUUAUAGAUGGAUCCGCGCUGCAUUAGCUAGUUGGUAAGGUAACGGCUUACCAAGGCAACGAUGCAUAGCCGACCUGAGGGGGUGAUCGGCCACACUGGAACUGAGACACGGUCCAGACUCCUACGGGAGGCAGCAGUAGGGAAUCUUCCGCAAUGGGCGAAAGCCUGACGGAGCAACGCCGCGUGAGUGAUGAAGGUCUUCGGAUCGUAAAACUCUGUUAUUAGGGAAGAACAUAUGUGUAAGUAACUGUGCACAUCUUGACGGUACCUAAUCAGAAAGCCACGGCUAACUACGUGCCAGCAGCCGCGGUAAUACGUAGGUGGCAAGCGUUAUCCGGAAUUAUUGGGCGUAAAGCGUGCGUAGGCGGUUUUUUAAGUCUGAUGUGAAAGCCCACGGCUCAACCGUGGAGGGUCAUUGGAAACUGGAAAACUUGAGUGCAGAAGAGGAAAGUGGAAUUCCAUGUGUAGCGGUGAAAUGCGCAGAGAUAUGGAGGAACACCAGUGGCGAAGGCGACUUUCUGGUCUGUAACUGACGCUGAUGUACGAAAGCGUGGGGAUCAAACAGGAUUAGAUACCCUGGUAGUCCACGCCGUAAACGAUGAGUGCUAAGUGUUAGGGGGUUUCCGCCCCUUAGUGCUGCAGCUAACGCAUUAAGCACUCCGCCUGGGGAGUACGACCGCAAGGUUGAAACUCGAAGGAAUUGACGGGGACCCGCACAAGCGGUGGAGCAUGUGGUUUAAUUCGAAGCAACGCGAAGAACCUUACCAAAUCUUGACAUCCUUUGACAACUCUAGAGAUAGAGCCUUCCCCUUCGGGGGACAAAGUGACAGGUGGUGCAUGGUUGUCGUCAGCUCGUGUCGUGAGAUGUUGGGUUAAGUCCCGCAACGAGCGCAACCCUUAAGCUUAGUUGCCAUCAUUAAGUUGGGCACUCUAAGUUGACUGCCGGUGACAAACCGGAGGAAGGUGGGGAUGACGUCAAAUCAUCAUGCCCCUUAUGAUUUGGGCUACACACGUGCUACAAUGGACAAUACAAAGGGCAGCGAAACCGCGAGGUCAAGCAAAUCCCAUAAAGUUGUUCUCAGUUCGGAUUGUAGUCUGCAACUCGACUACAUGAAGCUGGAAUCGCUAGUAAUCGUGGAUCAGCAUGCUACGGUGAAUACGUUCCCGGGUCU
rnacentral:rRNA from 1 species